rnacentral:rRNA from 1 species
AACGAACGCUGGCGGCAUGCCUAACACAUGCAAGUCGAACGAGACCUUCGGGUCUAGUGGCGCACGGGUGCGUAACGCGUGGGAAUCUGCCCUUGGGUUCGGAAUAACUCAGAGAAAUUUGAGCUAAUACCGGAUGAUGACGUAAGUCCAAAGAUUUAUCGCCCAAGGAUGAGCCCGCGUAAGAUUAGCUUGUUGGUAGGGUAAUGGCCUACCAAGGCGACGAUCUUUAGCUGGUCUGAGAGGAUGAUCAGCCACACUGGGACUGAGACACGGCCCAGACUCCUACGGGAGGCAGCAGUGGGGAAUAUUGGACAAUGGGCGAAAGCCUGAUCCAGCAAUGCCGCGUGAGUGAUGAAGGCCUUAGGGUUGUAAAGCUCUUUUGUCCGGGAGCAAGUCCUACUGGCUAAUAUCUAGUGGGGAUGAGAGUACUGGAAGAAUAAGCACCGGCUAACUACGUGCCAGCAGCCGCGGUAAACUAGUCCUACG